rnacentral:rRNA from 1 species
GUGUCAGCAGCCGCGGUAAUACGUAGGGUGCGAGCGUUGUCCGGAAUUAUUGGGCGUAAAGGGCUCGUAGGCGGUUUGUCGCGUCGGAAGUGAAAACACGGGGCUUAACUCUGUGCUGGCUUUCGAUACGGGCAGACUAGAGGGAUGCAGGGGAGAACGGAAUUCCUGGUGUAGCGGUGAAAUGCGCAGAUAUCAGGAGGAACACCGGUGGCGAAGGCGGUUCUCUGGGCAUUCCCUGACGCUGAGGAGCGAAAGUGUGGGGAGCGAACAGGAUUAGAUACCCGCGUAGUCC